ACAAAAGCACUUUCCUAAACCCAUCAGAGCUGUCUGCACUCCCUGGCCUCAGUGCGUGUGGGUGGUGUGGCAGGCUGGGUUGGGGCUGCAGGGGCUGGGGGCUGAAGGUGGGUUGGGGCUGCUGGUGCCUCCAGCUGGCAGAUGGUUGCAGGGGACUGCAGGCUCCAGCUGGGAGGCAUUACCAGCUCCUGCUGCAUCUCCAGUGGAAAGCAGGACGAGUGGUGGAGGGGAAAUGAAAUGGUCAGCAGGGAUGGAGGGAGCACAGGGAGGAGCAGCCGCUCUCAAAAAGGAGUUUGUAGUGAUGGCAAAGCAGUGUGACUCCUUGAUCCUCUGGCUUCUCUUAGGGUAGCAGGAAUCCCCAAGCCAUAAAAAAUGUGGGUCUGGCUCCUGUUUGAUGCGAGGGGACCUCACACGUGAGCUUGUGGAGUAGUGUGUGUCCUGCCCGAGCCCACAGCAUCCUGCCUCUGUUCAGGAGCACCGUGGGUUUGCACGAUUUAAAAUUAACAUCUAGCUUGGGACAGCAUUUCACUUUCUCCAGGCAUCCUGCUCUAGCAGAUGUCUCCAGGCUCUGCGGUCAGAGCCACUUAAGAACUAAGAAAAGCCACAGGACGAUUUCCAGCGGGAAGCGCGGGCGGGAUGCGGAGAGGCUGCCCCUGCGCCCGUGCCCAGCGCGGUUCGGGGCGGCCCCGAGCACUUCCCUUGCCCUCCAGCAGGCUCGGGGGCUUUGCUGCUCCCUGCGCUUUCCCAGCGCUCAAAACGGUUUUGUAAAACUCGGGAACGAACUGCAACAGGGCAGCGCGUUCCCGUCCCGGCUGAGCCACGGUAAGAGCCGCCGUCCCCGUCGGGCAGAACACCCCGGCCAGGCUCGGGGACGCGCACCGGCUCCCCCGGGCUGCGCGCUCCCGGCUCGGGCGGCUCCAUCCCGUCCCCCGCGGCCGCCGAGCAUCCCGGGGCGGGGCGGGCUGGGCUGGGCUGCGCGGCGGGCGGGGGUGGCUCCGGGGCCGCCCCCAUCGCCCGCUUCCUCCCCCGGGCCCCGGCCGGAGCCCGUUGCCCUCCCUGCGGGCGGUAGCGGGGCCGCAUCCCGGGCGUGCGGUCCGGCUGCGCCGCGGGACGGGCCCGAGGGACGGCGGAGCAAGAGGUACCUGGGGACAUCACUUCGAGGUGCUCUGUGCCCGUGUCUGCAGCAGCCUUGGCUGGCAGAGGGUGACUUUGCCCCUCAGAGCAUCGUGAGUGACACUGUGAGAGCUGCCCACACACGUGAGCCUGCAGGUGAUGUGUCCCUUGACAGGCACAUGUUAAGGAUGAAGAAGUCAGUGGUGGUAACACCUCAGGACCGGUGUGGGGGAUCCAUCAGCAGCCUGGAAACAGGAGUGAAAUGAAAUGUGCAUUUAUUGAAUGAAAAUGGAAAUGAAAACCUGAUCCAGACUUACAAAACCAUGAAGGCUCUGAGUCAGAGGAAAGUGUAACCGUCACUCACCUCACCUCUCCAUACAAAAACUAGAAGUUGGCAGUGAAACUCAGGAGUAAUUAAUGGAAAAAGGAUGAAGGGAUGUCCUGCUUCCCUGGGCAGGUAACAAACCUGGACCUUGGUGCUGCCGUAGGCUGCUCAUUUAAAAGGCACUAGGCACAUUCUUGGCCAGCAGGUCUAUAGAUGGAUCCCAAAAGGACUCGCCUGGGAUAUAUCCACUGUCAUAGCUCAUCCCAUAGUUGUGGAUGCCAGGAAUGGGCCAUGGAGCACCCAUGCUCCUGUUUUCUCCCUAAGCAGCCUCUUUGGAGAAGAAGAGCAGAAAAACUGGCAGUUACUGAUGGUUUUUGAGGGUGCUGAAAUCUGCUGGGGACACUCCAAAGGUCAAGACAAGCAUGUCUAGGGCAAGAACAUCCCCAGUCUGUCUUGAACUCUGCUUGACCAUAAAAUGUGUCUGUGGCACUGCCAGGAUAAACUGGCUCUACUCAGAUCAGCGUCUGCCUCCUGCAAGGACUCGUUUCUAGGCUGUAGACUGGAUGUCUCUGUUAUUAAAUGAAUGCAGCAGGUUUCACUUGAGGUCUGCAAAGGUGAUUUGGAGCCCAAACCCCCAUGAGAGAGCAACUUCUCUUCCCAAAGCCAAGUGUGUGUUGGUCCCCAUCAUGUAGGUCUUUACCCCAUGCCAGGACCAGGGUUGGCAGAGCAUCCGAGAGCAGCAGUGGGAGGGUGUCAGGGGAGCGGGAGGAGAUCUGGCCCGGGAGGAAGGAUGCUGUUUACACUGGGUUUGUUGCAAGCCAAUGAUUUGUCACUGGCUUUAAUGGUAGAACAAAGCAUAUUUACUCAGCUUGUUUGGCCGGUGAACAAGUGCUGGAUAAGAAACUGUCAGAUGGGAAUCAAUUAGAGACUUCAUCUCUGAGCGAACGAUCCUAUUUGACAUCAGAUGCUCUGUGAAACCCAG
rnacentral:lncRNA from 1 species